rnacentral:misc_RNA from 1 species
AAAUAUCAACAGGGAUUUCAAAGGCGUAAAUGACCGAAGAUAUCUGAGCGUGAAAUGUACAAGCGCGAAAAGUCGAAGGUUAUGUUUAUCGCAGAAGUCUAGGGCAGAGAUUGUUUUUGGCCGGACAUCACAGAAAAGUACUCCUGUAUUGAAAAAAUAAGGAGUACAUACUCCUGAUGUUGAAAAAUGAUCUGGAGCCCUGGUCUGUCUGUCAGGGGAGGUGCCAUGUGCUGAUGUCCUCCAAUAUGGCUACCACAGAGAUAGAAGGCUGGGUGCUGGACUAUGCAUGUAAAUACCAGCUCCAUGAAGCCAUUGCAGCCCUGGUGCAGAGACAUGGAGAGGAUCUAUCAUCGCUUGCCAUCCCCCAUGCCCGCCUGUCUGCCGCCACAAUCCACCGCAUCAUACACUGUCGUGAGCUGGAGGACUUCGAGACUGCCAUCCACCUGGCAGAACUACUGUACCAAACACUGGGGGAAGCCGUCCCCUUCAAGAUCUACUUCAGAUUGACUUAUGGUCUGAAGAUUAAGGUAUUAUUUGAUUACUUGAAGAAAGACUCCCAGUCUCCCCGUGUCCUGAACCUGAUGCUGAACAGAUACUUCCCUCGAUGUGGCAGUGCUGAUAUACAGAGGAACAUGUCCCGACUGCAGAUGAGGGUGAGCAACUUCAGGAAGUUCUUCCUCUCUCUCUGUCUGCAUGAGAACCAGAGGAAGAGCUUUCUGCAGGAUCAGUAUGACACUGAGUUUGGAGAGGAAUUUCUGUCUUCCCUGGAGAAACAUGUGGACAGAUUCCUGGAGGAAGUAGACAAAUGUCUUCCUCUCACAGUCCUGGACAAGAUUCUGAAGAAAGGUGUUGAGUCCGUCUGCUGUGGUGUACCGUCUAUGUCAGUCGAGAUGGACAUCCUGCUGGAAUGUUUGCUGAACAAGUCCGAACUCAAUGCCCUUGACCUACUGGAUCUCUUGACCCUCAUCCAUCCAAUGAGCACACAGGAUCAGAUCCGGCCCUGCUUACAACUCAGUCUAUGUUCAGAAGAAAGUUUCAGCUUGCAUGAUUCUCGGGCAGGAGGUGAUGUGUCAGACACCCAUGUCAGUGACCUGAAGACAGGAACAGACAGGUCAGCAAAACCUUUGCUGAACGGGCUUGACCUCACAGUCCCAGAUUUGAGUCAGUCGGUAACUGCAUCAGAAGAGUCUGUCUCAAUCCUCAGCAAGAGGUCGCCAGGUGUUUUGAAGUCCAGGGCCUGCAUGACAGCUGACCUCUCUGCCGACCCUCCUGCUGACCUGAACCCAUCUCAGGUCUGCAUUAUCUCCAGCAGCAGUGACAGAACCACACAGGGGUCACAGGUCACAGGGCAAGUCAUGGGUGUGUGUAAAACAUCAACGUCUGCCCCUGCCGGUCACAUUGUGAGAGGACCAGACAGUGACUCUGACAUUCAACUAUGGACAGACGAUUCAUUGGAGGAAUCAGUCAAUGCUGACUCGAGUUUGUCAGACAUCUGUGCCAGUGAAAUGAUCCCAUCUUCUAAUACUGAAGAACUAGAGGCACUGAGAUGGUUGUCAGCAGUGUCCUACCCAAGUCUCGGUCAAUAUCAGAAGAACAGUAGUGUCAAGCUGUGCGUGGUGAAACUGUACAGGGACAAGUGCAUGGAUGUUACUCAGCAUGGAGACAAGGUGACAAUGUACAGCUAACAGAUGCCAGGGUGACAAUUUACAGCUGAUAGACACCAGUGCCAAGGUGACAGUGUACAGCUAACAGAUGCCAGGGUGACAAUUUACAGCUGAUAGACACCAGUGCCAAGGUGACAGUGUACAGCUGAUAGACACCAGUGCCAAGGUGUCAAUGUACAGCUGAUAGACACCAGUGCCAAGGUGUCAAUGUACAGCUGAUAGACACCAGGUGUCAAUGUGCCAAUGUACAACUGAUAGACACCAGGUGCCAAUGUACAGCUGAUAGACACCAGGUGCCAAUGUACAACUGAUAGACACCAGGUGCCAAUGUACGACUGAUAGACACCAGGUGCCAAUGUACAACUGAUAGACACCAGGUGCCAAUGUACAGAUGACAGGUGACAAUGUGCGGCUGAUAAACACCAGGAGCCAUAGUGACAAUGUACAGGCGAGAGACACCAGCAACCCAGUUCCAAAAAUCGUCAUCAUAAACCUGAUAUUGUUUAGGGGUUGGUUAUUUCUGUUGUUCUUAUACAGACACAUUAAACCAUAUUUAUAUAUUUGUAAAUUAUUCUAUUUGUAAUAAUUUUUUAUCAUGGUAAAUUCUGAAAUAGUUCAGAAUCACUGUUGUUGAUGCCAUACACAUCUCCACCACUAAUUGUAACUUGCAUGGACAAUCACCUGUGACCAGGUACCAGUGAAUGUGGAGUAACACAAAAUGUAUAGCAUAUUGUAUAAAUAUCUUUAUGAAAUUGAUAUAAACAUAAUGAAGACAGGAAGGCUCUCAGGAUUGUAGAUUGUAAUGUCGUUAUUGGCAGUUCAUUUUAAUCAUCUGUUUUAACAAUUCUAAUGUUCCAGUUUCCAACUUGUAUACUGUUCCUCAGUUGUACAGAUAAUGGAUACAGGACACUGUUUGAUGAGCUGUCAGCAAAAGUACAAUCAUCAUUACAUAUGUCGCAGUUGUUUGCAUGGACUGUAGCUCUGCUCAUCAUUUUUCAAGAACAUCAAAUAAAUGACAUGUUGAGGGC